rnacentral:rRNA from 1 species
GAUGAACGCUGGCGGCGUGCCUAAUACAUGCAAGUCGAGCGAACAGACGAGGAGCUUGCUCCUCUGACGUUAGCGGCGGACGGGUGAGUAACACGUGAAUAACCUACCUAUAAGACUGGUAUAACUUCGGGAAACCGGAGCUAAUACCGGAUAACAUGUUGAACCGCAUGGUUCAACAGUGAAAGACGGUCUUGCUGUCACUUAUAGAUGGAUCCGCGCCGCAUUAGCUAGUUGGUAAGGUAACGGCUUACCAAGGCAACGAUGCGUAGCCGACCUGAGAGGGUGAUCGGCCACACUGGAACUGAGACACGGUCCAGACUCCUACGGGAGGCAGCAGUAGGGAAUCUUCCGCAAUGGGCGAAAGCCUGACGGAGCAACGCCGCGUGAGUGAAGAAGGUCUUCGGAUCGUAAAAC